UACGUAGGGGGCAAGCGUUGUCCGGAUUUACUGGGCGUAAAGAGCGUGUAGGCGGCCACGCAGGUCCGUUGUGAAAACUGGAGGCUCAACCUCCAGCUGUCGACGGAAACCGUGUGGCUAGAGUCCGGAAGAGGAGAGUGGAAUUCCUGGUGUAGCGGUGAAAUGCGCAGAUAUCAGGAAGAACACCAAUGGCGAAGGCAGCUCUCUGGGACGGUACUGACGCUGAGGUGCGAAAGCGUGGGGAGCAAACAGG
rnacentral:rRNA from 1 species